rnacentral:rRNA from 1 species
UACGUAGGGGGCAAGCGUUGUCCGGAUGUAUUGGGCGUAAAGGGCGUGCAGGCGGUCUGUUUAGGCUAGGGUGAAAGCUCCCGGCUCAACUGGGAGAGGUCCUUGGAUACUGGCAGACUUGAGGGAGGUAGAGGAGAGUGGAAUUCCCGGUGUAGUGGUGAUAUGCGUAGAUAUCGGGAGGAACACCAGUGGCGAAGGCGGCUCUCUGGGCCUUACCUGACGCUGAGACGCGAAAGCGUGGGGAGCGAACCGG